GCCAACAUCCAGUCUGGUGCCGCUGCCGAAAGUGUACCACAGUGAUACAAACUAAUAGAACAGCUGUACAAAAACCUCUGAGCGCUUCACUAACUGCACUUUAAACACAUGAUCACAAACACAUCUUUACACAACACACAUUCAAACAUGAUUCAUUUCAUAUUGUGAUCAACUACUGUUUAAAAAAUACAAUAAAAAGAUACAUAUUACAUUCCAAAUGAUAUACAACAUGUUUAUUACAAUGUAAUAACUCCACUCUACAACUCAUUUGAUUUACUUUGAUCUACUGAAUGCUCCUGAGAUUUCCACAAUGAGCAAAAAUCAUUCGAAUUUCAAGCAAUUGGAAUUAAUAACUAAAAGAUAAAGAUUGAAAUGUAUGAAUGUAAUUUGACAUGUAAUUGUUUCUUAUUUCUGCUGUUCUCCUGUAACGGUCACAUUUUCUGGUGAGAGGAAACAGUUUUGAAUGUGUGUCCCACCCCUCUGAUUAAAGCACAAUAUCAGACUGUCUGUUAGUCAGGACUGUCAAACCAACAUCACUGUUCCUUCAGUUCUCACUCAUUCACAGUAAAGAUGACAGCACACGCUCUCAUUAUCUGCUCUCUACUGCUUUUCAUUGCUGAGUGUAAUGGACAGAUCACAGUCACUCAGAGUCCCUCAACAACAGCAGCUCAACCAGGACAACAAGUUAAAAUAAACUGUAAAACCAGCAGUGAUGUGUACCGGUCCAGUAGUGUGGGAUACCUCUUGAGCUGGUACUUACAGAAACCUGGAGAAGCUCCUAAACUCCUCAUAUAUUGGACCAACAGCCUGCAGUCUGGAACUCCAUCUAGAUUCAGUGGCAGUGGAUCUAAUAGUGAUUUCACUUUGACCAUCAGUGGAGUCCAGACUGAAGAUGCAGGACAUUAUUACUGUCAGAGUGUUCACAGUGGUAAUGUGUUCACACAGUGAUAAAGAGUCGU